rnacentral:lncRNA from 1 species
CCAGGGUCGCUGGCGUGUCCAGAGCAUCAGGCCUACGUAGGCUUCCCUCGGCAGUCUGAGGUUCGGAGCGGAGCCGAUGCAGGGGCGCGCCGGGGACUAACCUGGGGGUGCUAGCCGUCGUCCUUCCCUGUCCAUCCCCGAGCCAAGACGCUGGCUCCGAGGUCCCUCAGGAACACUUUUGGACGUAUGAAAAAAGCUUUUGCAGAAAUGCUGCCGACGAAUCUGAACUUUGCCUGUAGAUAGUCGGCGAGAGGACACCUCUGAAAGAGGUCUUUGCAAAGGUCACCCACAAGAAUUCAUCGUGUAUCUCGGCCACAGAUGCCAAAUUUGGAGAAGGAAAUUCUCAGUCCUGGAAUGAAUGCUGGAAUGAGGUCGAUUCUGGGAUCCGGUUUCGCCUUAGAGUUAUACCUAACUCAGUUACCCUGGAAAUGAAAUUUGUUUUGUAUUUUGUAGCGGUAGAAAUGAUGCUAAAGAGAUUAUCUGAAGCCUAGUUCAGGAAACCAACUUAAGAUAGGUGUGUACUCUCCUAUUUGUCACACGCUAAAGAGAUUAUCGAAAGCCUAGUUCAGGAAACCAACUUAAGAAAAAAAAAGUUGUGAAUAUUUUUAGUCAUAAAACUGGUAUCUUGCAGGGCAGUAGUGGUGCAUGCCAACACUCGGGAGGCAGAGGAAGUCAGAUCUCUGUGAGUUCGAGGCCAGCCUGGUCUGCAGAGCAAGUUCCAGACAGCCAGGGCUAUACAGAGAAACCCGGUCUGGAAAAACAAAAACAAAAAACUGGUAUCUUGUAAACCCACACCUAGACUUAUGUUAUUUGGGGGUGUUUGUGGAAAGUUAAGUUUAUUCCUAAAUUAUUAGUAGUAAUUUUUCUAGUUAAAUUAAAAUGAAAUCUUUAGGAUUAUUUAUGGUUCUAUGUUUAUGGGCAUUUUGCUUGCCUGCCUGCAUGUCUGUGCCCUGCCUGAAGAAGAGGUCAGAACUGGGUGCCAAGUUCCCUGGAACUGAGUUACAGGUGCUAGUUAGCUGCCAUAUAGGUUUUGAGAAUCAAACCCUGGAUCCUUUGGAAGAACAGCCAGUGCUCUUAACCACUGAGGCAUCUCUCUUGCCCUAAAUUAAAUCUUUUUUUAUUAAAUUUUUUAUUUAAAUUCUUUAAUUACUACUCAUAUUUACAUAUCUAUCACCCCAUUCCCUCACCCUCCCAUGUUCCCCACCAACCCUGCCAACCCACCCCCAACUCCUCCCCAGGGAUAGUGAGGUCCCCCACCAGGGACCUUCAAAGCCUGUCAUAUCAUUUGGGGGAGAGCAUAGGCCCUCCUUGCUGUAUCUGGGCUACAAUAGUAUCCCUCCAUAGGGAAUAGGCUCCCUAAAUUAAAUCUUUAAAUUAAUAAAUAAAUAACAAGACUGGAGAGAUGGCUC